rnacentral:lncRNA from 13 species
CCCACCAGAAUUUCCUUGAGACAAUCUCCACACUGCUUAGCCCAGUGCUUAGCACACAGUAGAAUAAAUGAUACUGGUUGUAGCUGGAACUACACAAAAAUCUAUAAUAGAUUUCAAAAAAUGCACCUGCUAAAAAUUUGAACUAGGAUUCUCUGAGAUUGGCAGUGAGCAAAGAGUAUCUAAGAGAAAGACACCUUGAGGUCGAACGCUGAGGACAAGAUUUGUCCUCCCCUUGAACAUCUUGCACUAAUGACUGCAGCUCGGCUUUAGCCUCCAAAUGACAGGAGGGUCUCCAUUGUCAAUUGUCAAUACCAGGGGACCAGGGCUUGAUUUUAUAAAGGAAGCAACUGGGUUUUCUUUAGAGAUGCAAAUGGAAACGUUAGGUUUGGCAUGUUACAGGGAUUUCAUCUGCUCAACUGAAAAGGGCAUUUUAUAGCCCUAAGCACAGCUCUUAGAGUCACAUUCAGGAGGGAAGAAUGUAACCUGACUGCUUUGUUCUGACAUUCAUCUCAUUCUGAACCAUGGGAUACUGAGCAAAAUCAAUGCCUUUGGUCUUAUUACUAGUCAGUCUUGUGCUUCCCACAGAAAUCUUGGAGCCCUGAGUUGACAUCUUUGCUGGAGACUGACAGCUGAAAUGAGAUGUUCAAGUGAUGAACAUGAAGAGAAGCACAUCUCUUUAAGGCCUGAAUUUGAAGGGCCAAAUAUCGCAACAGAUUGUGAAAUGUUCCCUAGAAGUGUGCAUUUAAGUGGACAUGGUGAUUUCUUCCUUUCCAAGACACAGGAAUUUUACAGAAAAAAAGAAGAAAGGAACGUUUUCUAAUAGAAUAUCUUACGCUUGCACUUUGUAUCUAUGUUUUGUAAGUUUGAUUUCCUUAAAACAAGAUGUAUUAGUUUCUUCCAUGUGCAAGAUGUUUUGCUGGGCACUGAAAAAUAGAUAAACUGGACCUAAUUUCAGCUGCUGUUAUUUUAGACGUUACGAUUUGUUUCUUUGUGGGACAUCAAGACAAUAUAAUAUAUUACAGCCUUCCUGCUGAAUUUUACUUGUUUCUAUUUUUCUUUCAUGCUAAUAGUCACGAGAAUCACUCAAGUGCUUCCUUAUCUUACCAUUGCAAGGACUUUCAAGUUCUUUAGGAAACCGAGUUCUUUCUCUUAAGAAAACAAAUCUUAAUUCAUAGGGAAACAUGACAUACACUUAUUUUAUAUAUGAUCUGAGCCCCAAUCAAUUGGAAUUGCUGGACAUUUGGACAUAGACUGGGCUGAAGUUCAACUUUAUUUCAUCUUUGAUCAAGGAACUAAAUGGAAGUAAAUAAUACCUUUACACUGUUUCAAGGAAAAAAAACUUAUUUAAACUGAGGAGAGUCACAUUUCUCAAGCAAAUUAUUUAUGUUAAGUACAUGCUAUUCUAUUUAUAAAAGCAGCUCAUGAUGGAUCUCAACCUGAAAGCACUUUAUAAAGCACUUAGUGUGCUACAAUUCAUUUUUUCCUGAAAAAUGAAUGUUUUUCUUUAAAAAUUAUUCUUAAUAUAAACUCAGACACACAGUCUUCUUGGCUCAUUUAAUUUUUGAGGUUUGAUUGCAA